AUGCGAUACUUGGUGUGAAUUGCAGAAUUCAGUGAAUCAUCGAAUCUUUGAACGCACAUUGCGCCCGCCAGUAUUCUGGCGGGCAUGCCUGUCCGAGCGUCAUUUCAACCCUCGAACCCCUCCGGGGGGUCGGCGUUGGGGAUCGGGAACCCCUCAGACGGGAUCCCGGCCCCGAAAUACAGUGGCGGUCUCGCCGCAGCCUCUCCUGCGCAGUAGUUUGCACAACUCGCACCGGGAGCGCGGCGCGUCCACGUCCGUAAAACACCCAACUUUCUGAAAUGUUGACCUCGGAUCAGGUAGGAAUACCCGCUGAACUUAAGCAUAUCAAUAAGCGGAGGA
rnacentral:rRNA from 1 species